AUGAUCUGCUCGUACUCCGGUUCCUGCGCGCCGUCCGCUCCCACCUGACCACCGUUCACCAGGUCUAGCC
rnacentral:sRNA from 1 species